rnacentral:rRNA from 1 species
GAUGAACGCUGGCGGCGUGCCUAAUACAUGCAAGUCGAGCGAACGGACGAGAAGCUUGUUUCUCUGAUGUUAGCGGCGGACGGGUGAGUAACACGUGGAUAACCUACCUAUAAGACUGGGACAACUUCGGGAAACCGGAGCUAAUACCGGAUAAUAUCUUGAACCGCAUGGUUCAAAAGUGAAAGACGGUCUUGCUGUACUUUAUAGAUGGAUCCGCGCUGCAUUAGCUAGUUGGUAAGGUAACGGCUUACCAAGGCAACGAUGCAUAGCCGACCUGAGAGGGUGAUCGGCCACACUGGAACUGAGACACGGUCCAAACUCCUACGGGAGGCAGCGGUAGGGAAUCUUCCGCAAUGGGCGAAGGCCUGACGGGGCAACGCCGCGUGAGUGAGGAAGGUCUUCGGAUCGUAAAACUCUGUUAUUAGGGAAGAACAUAUGUGUAGGUAACUGUGCACAACUUGACGGUACCUAAUCAGAAAGCCACGGCUAACUACGUG